rnacentral:rRNA from 1 species
UACGGAGGGUGCAAGCGUUAAUCGGAAUUACUGGGCGUAAAGCGCACGCAGGUGGCUGAGUCAGUCGAUUGUGAAAGCCCUGGGCUUAACCUGGGAAUUGCAGUCGAUACUACUCAGCUAGAGUAUGGGAGAGGGUAGUGGGAUUCCCGGUGUAGCGGUGAAAUGCGUAGAUAUCGGGAGGAACAUCAGUGGCGAAGGCGGCUACCUGGCCCAAUACUGACACUCAGGUGCGACAGCGUGGGGAGCAAACAGG